rnacentral:lncRNA from 1 species
CCGCCCCCGCACAGCUUCCCAGCAGUCCCGAUUCCGCCUGAGGCUCCAGAAGGCGAAGCUGUACAGGAGGCCACUUUUCUUCUCAGCCUAGAACUCGAGAGACCUGAAAGGAAGGACGACUGGCCACAGGAGAUGUUUCACAGAGCCGCUGAAUGAACAACACAGUCAAUUCUGAUCAACUUUCCAGUGCUAUCUGGGGCUUCUUUCCUCAUCAGGGAAGUAAACAUUUUACCAGAAACUCCCUGGCAGCCUUUUCCUGAACUGUCCUAAGGGCUAUGGCUGAAGUGUAAGUGAGUGGCCCUGGAGGUGGGUGCCUCUCCCCGGCGCAGUUUUUCCUUCCAUCACAAGCAUGGCUGAAGCUGGGUGGUGGUGCAUACAGAUUCCAGCCAGCAAGGAGGGGAAAGAGAGUUCAGAGGACUCACCUCCACUGUCCCCGACCCAGGCCUGUAGCAUCUAUAUUGGCUCCUCUCAGGUUCCACAGCCAAAAGCCUAGUCCCAAGGGAGUGCUACAGAGAAGAAAAAAUCAUCACAAAACAGGGCAUUAAAACUCUGGGGACACGAAUCUGAAACCACCACAUCACCCCUCCUUAAUUUCAG